rnacentral:rRNA from 1 species
AACCUGGUUGAUCCUGCCAGUAGUCAUAUGCUUGUCUCAAAGAUUAAGCCAUGCAUGUGUAAGCACACACUGUUUUAAAAGUGAAGCCGCGAAUGGCUCAUUACAACAGCCACAGUUUAUUAGAACUUACAAUCAUGGAUAACUGUGGUAAUUCUAGAGCUAAUACACGCACAAAAACUUCAACUGAAUUGGUUGAAGUGCUUUUAUUAGAACAAAAACCGAACGGCGUUUGACGAAUGUUGAACGUCGAAACUGUUUGGUGAAUCUGAAUAACUAUUUCUGAUCGCAUGGUCUAGCACCGGCGACAUCACUUUCAAGUGUCUGCCUUAUCAACCUUCGAUGGUAGUCUAUGCGACUACCAUGGUGAUAACGGGUAACGGAGAAUCAGGGUUCGACUCCGGAGAGGGAGCCUGAGAAACGGCUACCACAUCCAAGGAAGGCAGCAGGCGCGCAAAUUACCCACUCCCAGCUUGGGGAGGUAGUGACGAAAAAUAACGAGACGAUUCUCGUUUGAGAAACGUUAUCGAAAUGAGUACGCUUUACACACGCUAACGAGUAGCAAUUGGAGGGCAAGUCUGGUGCCAGCAGCCGCGGUAAUUCCAGCUCCAAUAGCGUAUAUUAAAGUUGCUGCGGUUAAAACGCUCGUAGUUGAAUUGUGGUCUUAGACAACAGUCCCCCUACAUAGGUGUGGCACGGUUGCUCGAGAUCUUCAUUCGUGGUUGCUGUUGUUGCUCUUCAUUGAGUGUCAAUGGUGCCUCGAGAUUUUACUUUGAAAAAAUUAGAGUGCUCAAAGCAGGUUGUGAUGCCUGAAUAAUGGUGCAUGGAAUAAUAGAAUACGAUCUCGGUUCUAUUUUGUUGGUUUUCGAACCGGAGAUAAUGAUUGAAAGGAACAGACGGGGGCAUUCGUAUUGCUGCGUUAGAGGUGAAAUUCUUGGAUCGCAGCAAGAUGAACAAUUGCGAAAGCAUUUGCCAAGAAUGUUUUCAUUAAUCAAGAACGAAAGUUAGAGGUUCGAAGGCGAUCAGAUACCGCCCUAGUUCUAACGGUAAACUAUGCCAACCAGCGAUUCGCCGAAGUUCAUUUAAGACUCGGCGAGCAGCUUCCGGGAAACCAAAGUGUUUCGGUUCCGGGGGAAGUAUGGUUGCAAAGCUGAAACUUAAAGGAAUUGACGGAAGGGCACCACCAGGAGUGGAGCCUGCGGCUUAAUUUGACUCAACACGGGAAAACUCACCCGGCCCGGACACUGGAAGGAUUGACAGAUUGACAGCUCUUUCUUGAUUCAGUGGGUUGUGGUGCAUGGCCGUUCUUAGUUGGUGGAGCGAUUUGUCUGGUUAAUUCCGAUAACGAACGAGACUCUACCCUAUUAAAUAGUGACAGUAUUGUAUUUUUUGUGCUGAUCACUUCUUAGAGGGACUGGCAAAUUGAAAGCUGCACGAAAAAGAGCAAUAACAGGUCUGUGAUGCCCUUCGAUGUCCGGGGCUGCACGCGCGCUACAAUGAAAGCGUCAACGUGAGUUACGUCCUUACCUGAAAAGGUUUGGCAAUCGAAUGAAACGUUUUCUUGAAUGGAAUAGGGAAUUGCAAUUGUUUCCCUUGAACGAGGAAUUCCCAGUAAGCGUGAGUCAUUAGCUCGCGUUGAUUACGUCCCUGCCCUUUGUACACACCGCCCGUCGCUACUACCGAUUGGAUGAUUUAGUGAGGUGUUUUGACUGGCGCCAGUAGUCGGAUGUAUUCGGCUUCGCGCCGGGAAAUUUCCCAAACCAAAUCAUCUAGAGGAAGUAAAAGUCGUAACAAGGUUUCCGUAGGUGAACCUGCGGAAGGAUCAUUA